UACGUAGGGUGCAAGCGUUAAUCGGAAUUACUGGGCGUAAAGCGUGCGCAGGCGGUUCGCUAAGACAGAUGUGAAAUCCCCGGGCUUAACCUGGGAACUGCAUUUGUGACUGGCGGGCUAGAAUCUGGCAGAGGGGGGUAGAAUUCCACGUGUAGCAGUGAAAUGCGUAGAGAUGUGGAGGAACACCGAUGGCGAAGGCAGCCCCCUGGGUCAAGAUUGACGCUCAUGCACGAAAGCGUGGGGGAGCAAACAGG
rnacentral:rRNA from 1 species